UUAUUGCCUAAUUGCUUGAAAGUGCUUAUGCACUUAUUUGGAGGACACGGGCGCACAGCCUUCCGAACCGAUCGUUUUCUCCUGGACGAUGCGCGCCGUCCGAUUGGUUUAGGACAUUCUCGCCCUUUCCGUGCCAGGUGCCACUUCGUUCCCCCCGACACUCCCGCCUCGCGGCGAUUUCUCGGUGGUGGCGUUUUCGGCCGCACGGUGGAGGUGCAUCUCAGAAGAGGUAGGAUGUCGUCGGGCGAGACAGGCGGCGACGGGGAGGAGGUGCCGAGUAACCGGCGAUUUCUCCGCUGCGCGAGCUCCACCGGCGAAUCGACAGGGAAGGGGACGCGGGGCUUCUUCAGGUCGCAGGGCGUGGUGCUACGGGCCGCGCGAAGGUGAUUCGUGGGUCGAAUCGGGGCACGGAGGCUCAUCGGUGAGUCCUCUCGCUCGCGAUUUGCUGGGGAUGGAGUCCUCUCGCUCGCGAUUUGCUGGCGAUGGGGUUUCAGCGGCUGAAGCGGUGACGGAGAGAGAGGUGCAGCGCCGAGCAGCUUCGCGGGGGCAGCAGAGGUAGGCAGCGGACGAGGAGGAGCUGUCGAGUUCACCGUCGAAUUCGCCGUGGGGGCGCGAGCUCCAACGGGGAGUUGAUAGGGGCCGCAGGGGCUUCUGCAUGUGGCCGGGUGAGGUGAUGGGGGAUUCCCGGAGGGGUUUCUCGUGCUGAAUCGGUGUCGCGCAAGGCCGAUGAAUCGAGAUCACGACGAGCGCAUCUAGCAUCUAUUGUCGCAUCAAGUUCUCACGGGGUAUCAUGAACUCAUUUGACGAAGAAGAAGCAGUAGGAGUUCAUACGUAUGUUUUAUGUCUGCACAACAAACCGUGUGUUAUCCAGCAACUUCAAUAGCAUGCAAAUAUAGUAGGACAAUAUAUGGAAUCUGGGGCAAUGGUUUACUUGUAAAGUGGGAGCUGUUGAUGUGGGUUUUCCCAAAAGGCCAAGAACUGCUGUUGCAUUUUUGUAGUUAACAGCUUAGAGCAGCACCAUAUGCUUUUUUAGAUAAUUUGCUUUCCCAAUUCUUUGUUGAGACAUUUCUUAUGAGCUAGUACAACUACUGGAAGCAUGUUUUUCUUCCUUGCCCAGAUUUCAAUUCUGGGUUCUUUUUCAGAUAAUUUGCUUUUCCAAUUCUUUGUUGA